rnacentral:rRNA from 1 species
UACGUAGGGUGCAAGCGUUAUCCGGAAUCAUUGGGUUUAAAGGGUCCGUAGGCGGUUUUGUAAGUCAGUGGUGAAAGCCCAUCGCUCAACGGUGGAACGGCCAUUGAUACUGCAAAACUUGAAUUAUCGGGAAGUAACUAGAAUAUGUAGUGUAGCGGUGAAAUGCUUAGAUAUUACAUGGAAUACCAAUUGCGAAGGCAGGUUACUAUCAAUAUAUUGACGCUGAUGGACAAAAGCGUGGGGAGCGAACAGG